CGCCGCCGAGCCGUGAGCGUGUCCGGCCCUCCCGUCCCGUGAGGAAAUAAAAAGGAAUUCGAGCAGCCGAUUCAAAGGCACGAUUACCGUCUAAAAGAAGCCUGAAAAGCCCAUACACAACCCUCAUGUAAACAGAUGUGCUCUGCCGCCCACUACAUCAUCUUGUCAGGCUGGGCGUCCAGCAUUUGCUGCUGGACUGGAAACCGCCUGACCGUGUACAUACUUGACUGACCUCUUGGGCACGGCAGAUCUCCAGCAUAUACAGAGCAAAUUUCAGUGCAUUUGCACAAAGUAGUGAACCCAUGUAACCAGAACUUACAUCCAGGAACAGAACAUUAUCAUCUCUCCAGAAGACCCCACCUGCCCCCUUCCAGACGUGACGUCUCUGUCAGGCGUGACCGCCAUCGAAGAUGACCGUGAAUUCCACCCGGAACACCACAUCACAUCUGUGGGCUGUGAUACACCCUUAGAUCCUUCUGGCCAGCAGAAUUCUCCCGGCUGCCCUUGGCUGUGACGCCCUCUGCCCUUCGAGGAACACGGGUUGGGCGUUUUGUAGAUCGCACCUUGACUUGGGCUUCGCCUGAGUUUGUCUCACAAAUUAAGUGAGGUGAUGAGAUGGGGAGAAAGAUGGCGGAGGUGAAGGACCAUUCUCAUUUCUUCAUCUGAAGUGUUUAGUUUUCCUGUUUUUACAUCUGGCUCAUAGAUGGCAAAGUCAUGACCACAGAGAAAUGACAGAUGAUGUCACCUCCAUAUGACAUAUGCAGCCUGAGGUCAGCGGAGUGGCCGCUGGGCGAGGUCACCCAGCUAGGGGUGAAGCUGCGAUGGAUGCUUUUCAUGAACCCGGGACGCCCGGCUUCCUCCAGGGGCCUUCUUCUCUGCCCAGGCCACCAAAGGAGUUGUGGGUUCGUGCUGACUGGCUUCCUUCCUGACUUCUCUGCAGUGAUACACGCACAGACGUUCUGGGGACUCAAGUGUCGGCACAUGUGGAAAGUGAAUGAAUGGUGCUGGAUUCCGGGAUUAUUUUGAAUAGACAGUUUACAUUACGUGGAUCAGGAUGCCCCAGCGUGGAAGCUCUAGGACACGAUUUCCUUAGAAUGGAAUGAACUUUGUAUGCAAAAGGGUGGCGUGAUCAUGUAAACUGGGAACUGAUGAGAAUAACCAAGCAUCUUGGAAAGAAAAAUGAAAAUGAUUGCUGAAUGCACUGGCUUGUAAAUGCCCCCAAAAAAGAAGGUACCAUAAUUACUCCAUUAAAUGUACUGAAAAUAUUUGUCAAGCUGAUUAUUGAAGAUUAGGUAAGUUAAGUUGGCUGCCACAGUCACUGAGUUUAUUAUUGGCCAUUCUCUUCAGAGUUUAAAAGAAGUUUGGAAGAACUCAGAAUUACUGUGAAAACUGUCCUGUUUCUCUGGGUUCAGAAUAUAAGUAGCUAUGGGGAUAGAAGGAAAACUAUUAUUUCAUCUUUAUAUCAUUUCUAGGACUAUCUCAAGAGAGAAAGAGAGCAUUGCAUCUGAACAGAGAGAGUGAGGAAUACAGAAAUACAAGGGUUUUGACUUCCAUUCCCUUGGGAUCUACAAUGAGACCAGGGCAUAAGAAAAGCUUUGAAAAUAACUCAUGUUCACACCUACCCGGUCUAGGGUGAAGUUGGAAUUGUGAAUUAGCUCGCUUUAUUUUAGGCUAAAGUAAGUAGUUAUGUUAAACAUUCGACAUUAACGCUAUUGCUGAAUCGCGCAGUGAAUUGGCAAAACGACCAUCCGGAAUAUGAAGACCUUUGUCAUCGAAUCUCCGACCUUUAAACGUGAGGUCAUAUCACAGACGUUCGCAUGGACUUUAAGGUGAUCAGAUUCUCUAAACUCAUUUUGGAAAUAGGUGUUUCUGAAAAUACUCAUCAAAACUCAUCGAAUUGUUGUUUAUUCUAUUUUAAAUGCAUUGAUGGAGAAGCUAGUCAAAGGAAUCCAAUGAUGAUCGGGAAAAUAAGAAAAUCAUUUGAGAUGUUAACAUAACUUUCUGAAUUCAUCUAGUUCUUUAAUAUAAACCUAGUUAAAUCACAAUGCAGCUCACUGUUUUAUUAUAACUUCUUGAAAUUUUUCAUGUCUAAUGUAUGCACAGGUGAGCGAACCGUCUGUCAUGCUGUACAUUCGUGGGGCUGUGGUGGCGUCUCGCUGCGUUUGGGGGCCACUCCAGGUGGCCUGCUUGGGUUUGAUGGGGAGAAAUGUUUUCACCAGUGGAUGAAUUGCGGUAGCAGAUAUUUACAUUCAGAAAUACCAAAGGCAUUAUUUUUUCUCUGAGAAGGGCACUUCAGUGUGAGCAGGCGUCCCUUCUCUUGUUCACUGUGUCAACAGUGAUCAUCCUGUGCUGACGUUCUCUGAAACGCGCAUUUCUGGCAGUUAGACAUUACGAGGCAGUUUGCUGUGUGACGGAUUAGUUGCUGACUAACAGUUCAGAUAUCUCCAUGUCUUUUUCUUUAACUGUCCCCCAUCAGUUUCAAACUACUAAUGUCAUAGUUACUUAAUGGGUUACUCUCAGGGGUAAACAUGUAAGAAGGGACAAGAUAGAAAAUUCUGUAGCAUGGAAAGUUAAUGAGAAACUGAAAGGAGCUUUAGAUAUAACUAAUUUUGGUAUAUUUUCAUUCAUUCUUUAACAGUAAAAAUAAUGCAUGUCACAAUUAAAUAUUGAAUAUUAUAGUGCAUUUAAAAAUUUUAUUUAUUUCGUUACUAAUUCAUAUGAGUAG